UACAGAGGUCCCAAGCGUUGUUCGGAUUCACUGGGCGUAAAGGGUGCGUAGGCGGUCGGGUAAGUCUGAUGUGAAAUCUCCAAGCUCAACUUGGAAAUGGCAUCGGAUACUAUUCGGCUCGAGGAAUGGAGGGGAGACUGGAAUACUUGGUGUAGCAGUGAAAUGCGUAGAUAUCUGGAGGAACACCGGUGGCGAAGGCGGCAUCCUGGACCGGUAUUGACGCUGAGGCGCGAAAGCCAGGGGAGCAAACGGG
rnacentral:rRNA from 1 species